rnacentral:rRNA from 1 species
AAUAGAUACCCGGGUAGUCCACGCCGUAAACGAUGAGUGCUAAGUGUUAGAGGGUUUCCGCCCUUUAGUGCUGCAGCUAACGCAUUAAGCACUCCGCCUGGGGAGUACGGUCGCAAGACUGAAACUCAAAGGAAUUGACGGGGGCCCGCACAAGCGGUGGAGCAUGUGGUUUAAUUCGAAGCAACGCGAAGAACCUUACCAGGUCUUGACAUCCUCUGACAACUCUAGAGGUAGAGCGUUCCCCUUCGGGGGACAGAGUGACAGGUGGUGCAUGGUUGUCGUCAGCUCGUGUCGUGAGAUGUUGGGUUAAGUCCCGCAACGAGCGCAACCCUUGAUCUUAGUUGCCAGCAUUUAGUUGGGCACUCUAAGGUGACUGCCGGUGACAAACCGGAGGAAGGUGGGGAUGACGUCAAAUCAUCAUGCCCCUUAUGACCUGGGCUACACACGUGCUACAAUGGAUGGUACAAAGGGCUGCAAGACCGCGAGGUCAAGCCAAUCCCAUAAAACCAUUCUCAGUUCGGAUUGUGGG